UACGGAGGGUGCAAGCGUUGUUCGGAAUUACUGGGCGUAAAGCGCGUGUAGGCGGGUAUGUAGGUCAGAUGUGAAAUCCCUUGGCUCAACUGAGGAACUGCAUCUGAAACCGCAUAUCUUGAGUACGACAGAGGAGAGUGGAAUUCUCAGUGUAGAGGUGAAAUUCAUAGAUAUUGGGAAGAACACCGGUGGCGAAGGCGGCUCUCUGGGUCGAUACUGACGCUGAUACGCGAAAGCGUGGGGAGCAAACAGGAUUAGAUACCCUGGUAGUCCACGCCGUAAACUAUGUGCACUAGGUGUUGGAAGUAAUUAAACUUUCAGUGCCGAAGCUAACGCAUUAAGUGCACCGCCUGGGGAUUACGGUCGCAAGAUUAAA
rnacentral:rRNA from 1 species